UACGGAGGGGGCUAGCGUUGUUCGGAAUUACUGGGCGUAAAGCGCACGUAGGCGGCUUUGCAAGUCAGAGGUGAAAGCCCGGGGCUCAACCCCGGAAUUGCCUUUGAGACUGCAUCGCUAGAACGUCGGAGAGGUGAGUGGAAUUCCGAGUGUAGAGGUGAAAUUCGUAGAUAUUCGCAAGAACACCAGUGGCGAAGGCGGCUCACUGGCCCGGUACUGACGCUGAGGUGCGAAAGCGUGGGGAGCAAACAGG
rnacentral:rRNA from 1 species